AGUGGUGCGCAAGCGUGCAACCGGACACCACGAGUAGAGGCCGGCACGCGCCGAAAGCCACCUCGUCGGUUUUCUCGGAUGGUUACCCGACAAUUUGCCGCUUCGAUACUCUUGCUACAGGGAAAGGUGAUUCGACAAUGUUCGUCGAGUGUAACCAUGCGUGUCUUGUCCAUGCCAAAUCAUGGAAAUUCGAUGGUUUUCUGCCACAAUACUUUGUCAUGUUGGUUCAUGAAGAUUGUUUUUGGAAUUUCAAAGAGAUUAUUAUGUUAUUUAACAAAAAUACAGAUAUAAUAUAUUUUAAAGCAAAUAUAUUUUGAGAUUUCGAUACAGAUAUCCGAUAUCGCCUUAAAGAAGCAGUUCACGAUUCACACUUUCACCAUGAAGCUGAACGAAAUCGAAGUAUCGAUUUUGUUCCAGAUUGAUGAUUGGCAGCUUCAAAAAUUUGCUAGAGAGUGAAAAUCAGCCGGCAGCGGCGGAUUCUCUUCGCUGUGGGUGGAAAUGCGGUGAUUACUGGGUUAAUUUCCUCCAUUAUCCACGAGUGACCCACAUCUUCGAGCCUUCCGCUUUCGGAGAUGUUGAACUAGCGAUGGCUACGAGAUCGCUCGUUACAGAGUAGAAAGGAGUAACCGAUCCCGAUUACGAUUUCUCCUCUCAAUGCCAUGAAAAACGUCGACACUUUCACAAAGCGACGCGUGCAGCUGUUCCGAGGAGGAACUCCCCGUAUCUGAAAAUGGUGGAUAAACGGAAGGGUGAAGCUGACUCUCCAUGUCCACGUGCCGCCUCCUAUUUCGUGAAUUAUCCGUGCAAUCAUCUGGAACAGUUUGCAAUUACGGGGAAUAUACGACUGUUGCAGGUAAAUAUUUAUUUUAUAAAUUUUGCUAAGUAUUUUCGAGAUGAUACAUGUCCAAAUUUUUCUAAUAUUAACACGAAAUCUAUUGAAACAUUAUAUAUAGAAAAUUCAUCAUAGUUAAAUUGUUGUAAUCAUGUAUGUCAUGUAUCAUACAUUUUGUUUAAAAGAAAUUCAAUAUAACAGUUUUAUAUU